AGUGGGAUUGCUGGGUCAUAUGAAAGUUCUAUUUUUAAUUUUUUGAGGAAUAUCCAUACUGUUUUCCAUAAUUGUGGUACAACUUACACCCCCACCAACAGU
rnacentral:pre_miRNA from 1 species